rnacentral:lncRNA from 13 species
CAUCAUUCUAUCUCUUUUCAUGUCUCAGUUUUAUCCACAAUAAAAUUGAAAAUAUUUUAGGUAAGUCUUUUUUUAAUUUUCUUCUUUUUUUUUUUUCAGAAAAAUCUUCAUUACAGUAGCAAAUGCUUUAAUACACUAAGUGCCCAACAAUAUUAAUGUUGCAAUUAUUGAACACUUGUUUAGAGGUAAUGAGCUAAAGUUUUGGCAGAAUCUGUGACCAUAAAAGCCGAAUUUUUGAACAUGAUCUCUACCUCACCAUGGAAACAUAUAUCAAAAAGCUUGAUCACUCUAAAUCCCUAUUAGCAGGGCAUCCAGCAACAUUUCCCCUUGGCUGGAAAUUUAUGUGGGAUUUAGUUGCCUGUCCUGAACGUUCUGAGUCCUCAUAAUCAUAUUACGUCUGCUCUCGCUUGUUCCGGAUCUGGCAGCCUCAGAUGUGGUGAACUGAUUUUUAGUUGGCUGUUCCCGGUUUUAUUUCGGGAAGAACAAUUAGUUACAUGGACCUUGAUAGUAGAAAAUAGACCGUCCCAAGUUUUAAGCAGACAGAAAACAGAGUACUUGAAACUGGAAAUGGCCUGGUCAAUUUUGAUAUCUAAUAUCAGUAGUGCAGAGGAUGAAUAGGACAUAAAAGUGGUCACGGAGAUAAUUUUAAAGUUACUGCAGUGAUCUAGAAAGACUUUGAACGCUAGACAGUUAUCUUGAAGGCAUAUCGUUUCAUUCACUGGGAGACAAGAUGCAUUUAUUCAUUUCUCAUAUUUUCAUCAAGUUGAUUAAGGGCACCAUGCCAGAUACUUUGAGGGACACAAAGGUCUGCUGGAGUUUGCUGCGGGUCCACUCCAGACCCUGUUUACCUGGGUAUCACCAAAAGAAGCUGCAUAACAACAAGGAUCACUGCCUGUUCCUUCCUCUGGAAGCUUCAUCCCAGAGGGAUGUGAAGAAAUAGGAAUGCUUUUACACUGUUAGUGGGGGAGUAAGUCAGUUCAAACAUUGUGGACGACAGUGUGGCAACUCCUCAAUGAUCUAGAAUCUGAAAUGCUAUCUGAUCCAGCUAUCCUAUUACUCAGUAUAUACCAAAAGGAUUAUAAAUCAUUCUACUAUAAAGACACAUGCACAUGUGUGUU